GAUGAACGCUGGCGGCGUGCCUAAUACAUGCAAGUCGAGCGAACAGACGAGGAGCUUGCUCCUCUGACGUUAGCGGCGGACGGGUGAGUAACACGUGGAUAACCUGCCUAUAAGACUGGGAUAACUUCGGGAAACCGGAGCUAAUACCGGAUAAUAUAUUGAACCGCAUGGUUCAAUAGUGAAAGACGGUUUUGCUGUCACUUAUAGAUGGAUCCGCGCCGCAUUAGCUAGUUGGUAAGGUAACGGCUUACCAAGGCGACGAUGCGUAGCCGACCUGAGAGGGGUGAUCGGCCACACUGGACCUGGGCACCGGCCCAACCGCCUACGGAGGGCAGCAGUAGGGAAUCUUCCGCAAUGGGCGAAAGCCUGACGGAGCAACGCCGCGUGAGUGAUGAAGGUCUUCGGUUCGUAAAACUCUGUUAUUAGGGAAGAACAAAUGUGUAAGUAACUAUGCCCGUCUUGACGGUACCUAAUCAGAAAGCCACGGCUACCUACGU
rnacentral:rRNA from 1 species